rnacentral:rRNA from 1 species
AGCGAACGCUGGCGGCGUGCCUAACACAUGCAAGUCGAACGUGAAAAGGGAAACCUGAGUAAAGUGGCGUACGGGUGAGUAACGCGUAGGUAAUCUACCCCAGAAUCUGGAAUAACCUGCCGAAAGGCGGGCUAAUACUAGAUAGAGCGAGGGAACUCGUAAGAGAGUUUUUCGGGAAAGGGAGCCCGCAAGGGCCUUCGUUCUGGGAUGAGCCUGCGUCUCAUUAGCUAGUUGGUAAGGUAACGGCUUACCAAGGCGAUGAUGAGUAGCUGGUCUGAGAGGAUGAUCAGCCACACUGGAACUGAAACACGGUCCAGACUCCUACGGGAGGCAGCAGUGGGGAAUCUUGCGCAAUGGACGAAAGUCUGACGCAGCCACGCCGCGUGAGUGAAGAAGGCCUUCGGGUUGUAAAGCUCUGUCGGAUGGGACGAACAUCUUCAUAGUGAAUAGCUAUGAGGACUGACGGUACCAUCAAAGGAAGCACCGGCUAACUCCGUG